CCGGACGCUCCGCCCCCGCAAACCUGGCCACUGGAGGCACGUGAGGUCCAGGCUCCUGCCCUGCCCGCCCCUGGGCUUUGGUCACCCGCGGGACUGGGCACGCACAGGCACACAGCAGAGCCGUCCACAGACCCGGCCCAGGGGCCGCCGGGAUCAUCCCGCCCAGUCGAGCUCUUGGGCCCCCUUGAAGCCUAGGAGUGUUUUCUCAGAGAGAAAGCAGCACGCUUCUUGCGCAUUUGCACAUCUCCAACGCAGCGCUUCGGCCUGUCCUCCGCACUGGAGACUCAGGUGCCUCCGCCCUCCUGAGAGCAGGGGCGGCCUCUCUGCUGAGAGUUCUGAUUGUCAAGCUCCCAGAACUUUCAGAGUUCAGUCCGCCCAGCGUUCUUGUUUACCAGUUGAGGAAACGGAGGCCCAGGGAGGCUGUGCAGCGCGCCGGCACUCACACACCUGGUGGGGACAAAUGUGGACUAGGAUAUCUGGGACCGAAGUCUUGGCCUCCAGCUCCCUCUUGCCUCCCACUUACCUUUCCAGAGAUGGAGUUUCACCACGUUGGCCAAGCUGGUUUUGAACUCCAGACCUCAAGUGAUCUGCCCGCCUCGGCCUCCCAAAGUGCUGGGAUUAUACAUGUGAGCCACCGUGCCUGGCCUUGAGUUACAUUUUCAUGGGGACUUGGGACAAUCGGAAAUGCAUCCACCACACUUGCAGACUGACUGGUGAUCCUGAAAUGAUGGCGUGUGGGAGAGGCAUGGGCUUCCUUUAAGAGCCGCCAGAGCCAGGGCAGGGGCACCUUGUGCCUUGACAUAAGGAAGGCUCCCCUGCCAGGAUAGACAGAAGAGCUGCCGAAGAGGUGGAGCCAGGCAGGGGCCACAGGCCCGUGAAGGUCUCAGCAGAGCCCCCAGGAGAGUUGGACUUGCUGCAAGCAGAGCCUAUGGCUCUGCGGUUCCAGGAGAACUGUUUGUGCCCCUUGCCCCACUGCCUGCCAGCUGUCCCCAAAAGGACCAGAGGAUCAGAGUAGCCCACUCCAGACGAGGUGCGGGCACCAUGCUGUUACCAUCUGCUGCCCCUCUUUCCAUCUUUCCAUCUUACUUCCUGCGUGGCCCAGCAUCCAGGCUGUCUAGGGCCGUGGGAGACCUGGAGAGCCAUUAAAAACAACAACUGGCAGCACACAGGCAUUUUUUGGCAGCACACGGAAACUCACACGGAACAGACAGGGAGCCGGAGGUGAGCAGAGUUACCUGUAUUUCUCUCACCACCUGAGGAAAUUGGGGUUCAAAGGGGUAAAGCACCUUGUGUGUUGGCCCCAGGGGUGAAGCAGGAGGGGCCAGGCCUCUAGGAGGACUGGCACAGUUGGGUCAAGGACAGGGGAGCCAAGAAUGUGGGGUGCGGUCAGGACCUGGGAUGGCCAAGCAGUGUGAGGUGAGCCAGAGGCCCAAGGUCUCUGAGAUGCUGCACAGAGGGGCAUUGAAAGGAGCCAGGAUUUGAGGAGGAGAAGGGAGGAGGUGGGGGAGGAGGGCUCUUAUGCAGACCUGGGGUGUGGGGAGGGGAUGUUCACUGACCCCCCCGCCCCACCCUCACCCGCAGGACCGUGGCCAGGCUCCACCCUGGAGGCAGCAGAGCGAGGAACGUCUAAUGGGGAUCCCGUGUGGAUGCCUUUAGGGAGCUCUGCUGUAUACCUGUUACCUCUCACCCUCAAUCACACCUCUGGGGCCUGGAGCUGCUGGGGACACAUUGACUGGAAGGGGCUUGGGGGCACAAGGAGUGAGAGCCAGAGAAGGGCAGGGCAGCCCAGGGAUUGGCAGAGCUGGCCUCAGAAGCUAUUGGUGCCACUGAGAUUCAAGUACCCCCUGCUUCUUCCCCAAGUCACAGACAGGGUGAAGACAGAGGCAGGAUUCAAGCCCAGAGCCCAUGCACUGCCCUCAUUCCCUGACUGGAGUGUAUUCCUGGCAGGGUGACCUGGAAGGGGCCCCCCCAGCACACUAGCUGACCUACUUCUGCCUGGUCUGAGAAGCCUGUCCUACAUCACUCAACCUGAACACAGGGGAGGCAGGGGAAGAGGCAGGAGGGUCCUCCUAUGACCAGGACCACCCCCAGGGCCCGUGCUGCGGCAAGGGCAAGGACCCCUGCCUCCUUGUGCCCCUGCUCCCCACGUCUGAACGUGGACAGGACUGAGGUUGCCCUCUGUAAGGACUGUGGAGGCUCCAGGCUGGGAGAAGGUGGAAGGUCCCAGAGCCCCGGAGCCUGGCUCUGCUGCCUAAUGCUGGAGCAAGUCACCUGACCCGCCUAGCCUCAGUGUUCUCAUUUGUGAAGGGGGCUGAUGAUAGUGCCAGCUCUCAGAGCUGUUGUCUUCACCCUUGGCUUUCAGUGUCAUGGUCGUGAAGCCCACUCAUACGUGACCUCAAUGAGAUGGCCAGGUAUGUUUAUCAGCACUUUUGGGAUAAUGAUUCUCCCCUCCCAUGGUGACUGUGAGGGGCAUGAGUGUGGCCAGCGUGCAGCCGAGAAAACAGAUGUGAGCCCUCUCGUUUAGGAAGGGAAGGUGGGACAGGCAGGCAGGACUCCUUGUGGGCACCUGUUGAGGGGGCCUCACCAGGCUGCAUGGCCUCAAGGGCUGCUUUCAUUGAUUCAUCUACAGUGUAUAGUUAUUUCCAAUCAACUCAAUACAGCAUUCAUUUGAAAAAUGUUUCAGUCAUUGAGAACAGUCUGCUUUGCCUGCCCUCAGAGGACUCUUGGAAAUAAAUCAACAAACAGAAAAUUACAAGAUAAGUUAAGUGCUAUUAAGGUAAAACAUUCAGGGUCGAGAGAGGGAAGAAUGACCUGAGUGGCCACGGAAGUCCCCACUGAACCCUGGAGGCUGAGAGGCAUGGGGAGGUUCAGGGAAAGAGGGUCCUUGUAGGGGGUAAGUGCAAAGGCCCUGGGGCCACAGCACAUUUAGAGAGGCAGAAAACUCACAUACAUGGCUACACUUUAGGGAGCACAGAUGAAGAUGGGGGAGAUGGAGUAGAAGCUAGGGUGGGGCACAGCAAGAGGGCCCUGGAAGCAGGGGAGGAAUGUGAAGGACCCUAAGCUGAGCUGGCAGGGGAGGAAGCAGAAAAUUUUUUUUUUUUUGAGAUGAGUCUCGCUGUCGCCCAGGCUGGAGUGCAGUGGCACGAUCUCGG
rnacentral:lncRNA from 1 species